CGCUGGCGGUGUGCUUCACACAUGCAAGUCGAACGAGGUAGCAAUACCUAGUGGCGGACGGGUGAGUAACGCGUGGGAAUCUGCCUUUAGAUGGGGGAUAACGGGUCGAAAGACUCGCUAAUACCGCAUAUGACGAAAGUUGAAAGGAGUAAUCCGUCUAAAGAUGAGCCCGCGUCCGAUUAGCUAGUUGGUAGAGUAAAAGCCUACCAAGGCGACGAUCGGUAGCUGGUCUGAGAGGAUGAUCAGCCACAAUGGGACUGAGACACGGCCCAUACUCCUACGGGAGGCAGCAGUGGGAAUUUUACGCAAUGGGCGAAAGCCUGACGUAGCGACACCGCGUGAGCGAAGAAGCCCCUUGGGGUGUAAAGCUCUGUCAGCUGGAACGAAAAAAUGACGGUACCAGCAGAGGAAGCAUCGGCUAACUACGUG
rnacentral:rRNA from 1 species